rnacentral:rRNA from 1 species
UCUUCCCUCUGUCGGCGCGCCUAACACAUGCAAGUCGAACGGAUAGGGCCCCUUCGGGUGGGGAUCUAGAGUGGAGAACGGGAGUGACACGUGUGGGACCUCCGCCCUUCACUUUGGGAUCCACGGGAGACACUGGGUAAUAUACCAGACAGCAAGACUUGCGGAUUGAAGGCGCGAGAAAGCUUCGGCGGGUGGGGAUGGGCCCGCGGCCUGUUAGCUUGUUGGGGGGGUAAGGGCCUACCAAGGCAAUGAGGGGUAGCUGGGUUGAGAGGGGGACCAGCCAGAUUGGGACUGAGAUACGGCCCAGACUCCUACGGGAGGCAGCAGUGGGGAAUAUUGCACAAUGGGCGGAAGCCUGAUGCAGCGACGCCGCGUGCGGGAUGACGGCCUUCGGGUUGUAAACCGCUUUCAGCAGGGACGAAGCGAGAGUGACGGUACCUGCAGAAGAAGCACCGGCUAACUACGUG